rnacentral:rRNA from 1 species
UACGAAGGGGGCUAGCGUUGCUCGGAAUCACUGGGCGUAAAGGGUGCGUAGGUGGUUUUUUAAGUCCGUUGUGAAAUCCCUGGGCUCAACCUGGGAAUGGCAGUGGAUACUGGAAAGCUAGAGUGCGGUAGAGGGUAGUGGAAUUCCCGGUGUAGCAGUGAAAUGCGUAGAGAUCGGGAGGAACACCAGUGGCGAAGGCGGCUACCUGGACCAGCACUGACACUGAGGCACGAAAGCGUGGGGAGCAAACAGG